rnacentral:rRNA from 1 species
GACGAACGCUGGCGGCGUGCUUAACACAUGCAAGUCGAACGGAAAGGCCCUGCUUUUGUGGGGUGCUCGAGUGGCGAACGGGUGAGUAACACGUGAGUAACCUGCCCUUGACUUUGGGAUAACUUCAGUAAACUGGGGCUAAUACCGGAUAGGAGCUCCUGCUGCAUGGUGGGGGUUGGAAAGUUUCGGCGGUUGGGGAUGGACUCGCGGCUUAUCAGCUUGUUGGUGGGGUAGUGGCUUACCCAGGCUUUGACGGGUAGCCGGCCUGAGCGGGUGACCGGCCACGUUGGGACUGAGAUACGACCCAGACUCGUAUGGGAGGCAGCGGUGGAGAAUAUUGCACAAUGGGCGGAAGCCUGAUGCAGCAACGCCACGUGCGGGAUGACGGCCUUCGGGUUGUAAACCGCUUUCGCCUGUGACGAAGCGUGAGUGACGGUAAUGGGUAAAGAAGCACCGGCUAACUACGUG